AGCGGCGGACGGGUGAGUAACGCGUGGGUAACCUGCCUCAUACAGGGGGGUAACAGUUAGAAAUGACUGCUAAUACCGCAUAAGACCACGGUACCGCAUGGUACAGUGGUAAAAACUCCGGUGGUAUGAGAUGGACCCGCGUCUGAUUAGGUAGUUGGUGGGGUAACGGCCUACCAAGCCGACGAUCAGUAGCCGACCUGAGAGGGUGACCGGCCACAUUGGGACUGAGACACGGCCCAG
rnacentral:rRNA from 1 species